rnacentral:rRNA from 1 species
AAUCAACGCUGGCGGCGUGCCUAACACAUGCAAGUCGAACGCGAAAGCCCCGCAAGGGGCAAGUAGAGUGGCAAACGGGUGAGUAACACGUGGGUGACCUGCCUUCGAGUGGGGGAUAACGUCCCGAAAGGGACGCUAAUACCGCAUGACAUCCUGCCUUUGGAGAGGUGGAGAUCAAAGCCGGGGAUCGCAAGACCUGGCGCUUGAAGAGGGGCCCGCGCCUGAUUAGCAGUUGGUGGGGUAACGGCUCACCAAGGCGACGAUCAGUAUCCGGCCUGAGAGGGCGGACGGACACACUGGGACUGAGACACGGCCCAGACUCCUACGGGAGGCAGCAGUGGGGAAUUGUUCGCAAUGGGCGCAAGCUUGACGACGCAACGCCGCGUGGAGGACGAAGAUCUUCGGGUCGUAAACUCCUGUCGAGCGGGACGAACGCUUCGCGGAUGAAUACUCCGCGGAAUUGACGGUACCGCUAAAGGAAG